UGCAAAUCAGAAUAUUAGGAA
ensembl:piRNA 21ur-4457 ncRNA